rnacentral:sRNA from 1 species
AAUGAUGUCACCAAUCUGCGACCAGACCAUUGAUUCCCGACUGAAGGGGUAUUCCCUCAACGGAUACUACACCCAUCCAUUUCAAGGCUAUGAGCACAGACAGCUCAGAUACCAGCAGCCUGGGCCAGGAUCUUCCCCCAGUAGUUUCCUGCUUAAGCAAAUAGAAUUUCUCAAGGGGCAGCUCCCAGAAGCGCCGGUGAUUGGAAAGCAGACACCGUCACUGCCACCUUCCCUCCCAGGACUCCGGCCAAGGUUUCCAGUACUACUUGCCUCCAGUACCAGAGGCAGGCAAGUGGACAUCAGGGGUGUCCCCAGGGGCGUGCAUCUCGGAAGUCAGGGGCUCCAGAGAGGGUUCCAGCAUCCUUCACCACGUGGCAGGAGUCUGCCACAGAGAGGUGUUGAUUGCCUUUCCUCACAUUUCCAGGAACUGAGUAUCUACCAAGAUCAGGAACAAAGGAUCUUAAAGUUCCUGGAAGAGCUUGGGGAAGGGAAGGCCACCACAGCACAUGAUCUGUCUGGGAAACUUGGGACUCCGAAGAAAGAAAUCAAUCGAGUUUUAUACUCCCUGGCAAAGAAG